rnacentral:rRNA from 1 species
GAUGAACGCUGGCGGCGUGCUUAACACAUGCAAGUCGAACGAUGAAGCCCAGCUUGCUGGGUGGAUUAGUGGCGAACGGGUGAGUAACACGUGAGUAACCUGCCCUUGACUCUGGGUUAAGCCUGGGCAACUGGGUCUAAUACUUGCUAUGACUUCUCAUCGCAUGGUGGGGGGUGGAAAGAUUUAUUGGUUUUGGAUGGACUCGCGGCCUAUCAGCUUGUUGGUGGGGUAAUGGCUCGCCAAGGCGACGACGGGUAGCCGGCCUGAGAGGGUGACAGGCCACACUGAGACUGAGACACGGCCCAGACUCAGACGGGAGGCAGCAGUGGGGAAUAUUGCACAAUGGGCGCAAGCCGGAUGCAGCGACGCCGCGUGGGGGAUGACGGCCUUCGGGUUGUAAACCUCUUUCAGUAGGGAAGAAGCGAGAGUGACGGUACCUGCAGAAGAAGCGCCGGCUACCUACGUGC